UACGUAGGAGGCGAGCGUUGUCCGGAGUUACUGGGCGUAAAGGGUGCGCAGGCGGCGGGUCGCGUGGCGAGAUGAAAUCUCCUGGCUUACCUGGGAGGGUGGUCGCCAGGCGGGAUCGCUUGAGGGUCGGAGAGGGGCGUGGAAUUCCGGGUGGAGCGGUGAAAUGCGUAGAGAUCCGGAGGAACACCGGUGGUGUAAACGGCUUUCUGGACCAUAACUGACGCUGAGGCACGAAAGCGUGGGUAGCAAACAGG
rnacentral:rRNA from 1 species